AUGAAAAUUCGGUCAUCAAAAUACACGUGCAGUUGUUUUGAAUUCACCGUCCAUACGAUAUACCCGAUAUUCCUAACACAAUUUCAGUAGUUUCAGCCUAGAACGCUAUUCAUAUUAUUUAAAUCAAAAAUGGGUGGAAAUUCCAGGAAAUUUAAGAAGGCCGAAAAGAGUAAAAUUAAAUUGAAAGGAGCAAAACUUCCAAAAGGCACGAAUGUAACGAAAACCAAUUUUAAAGUGCGGAAAAUUGUACUGCCUGAUCAGAUCAAACAGCGCAAUCUGACCGAUGCGAUCGUUUUGUCUAACCGAAGUUUAACAGUGAAGGAUUGUUUGGCAAAACUGAAACACACUAAUCACACUGCUAAAUGUGACGGCCUUCGAGGACUUCGAGAAAUUCUUUCAAAACUGUCAACCGAGGUGACGGACAAAUAUCUCAGUACUGCCAUCAAGUCGGUAGUAAGUCUUUCGAUUGAUCUGGAAAGGGAGGUACGGCGGGACUGCUACAAAACAUUAGCACUAUUGUUUGCGUCUGCUGGACAGGGAAAUAUUUUUCCAUUUUUUGAUGUUCUAUUAUCGUUUCUACGUUGUACCAUGACGCACAUUCAACCCCGAAUUCAAGAAGAUUCGUUACUUCUGUUAGAUACAUAUUUACAAUAUCUACCGCAACUGGUGCUACUGAAUAGAGACAAAAUUUUUCCGCAAUUUCUGGAUAUGAUUUCCAAGCUCAGAAACGAAUCGAAACCCGAACGGACACUCACGCUUAGUUUGAACAAACAAUCCACCAGCACGAAAUGGCGAUCGAGAGUCUUAAUGCGGUUAAUUGGUAUGCUGAAAAUUUUAAUAGAUCAAAAAAUGCAAGGAGAUGAACGAAGUCUUGAACACCAAACGCAAAAGCCAAUGAAUACAGUGGAAGAGAAUAAUCCGUUUGUUACAAAAACUUCGGCAAUUAUGACUCGAAAUGUAAUAGUGAACCACAUCUAUGAUGUCAAAUGCGCAUCACACUAUUCUUUAGUCCGUUAUCGACUCCAUGAACCCUGCUCUCUCCCGUUUUUGUUCCGUAAAUCAAUAGGAGAAGGAAAGAUAACUUUGUCCGACCAGAUUGACGAGGGACGUAAGCUUAAAACAUACGUGCAGAUGCUCAUGCCGCUAUUGUUUGAGUCCUGGCUGGAAGUUCGUCCGGUUUCAAGCCAAGGCGAAUCAGCCGAACAUGGCCUUUCAAAUGAAGGUGCGACAACGCUUAAUUUGUUGCUUGAUAUUGUGAUUCAACUGUGGGAUUUGGUGAUUCUAUACGGCCGUGAAACCAACAAUUCCGAUAUGACACAAUGGCUUCGCGGACAAUAUACCGCACAAUUUAAUGAUCACAUUAUCAAGGGAUUUCCAUAUUAUCAGAAUGCUUCCGCUUCUGGUAGCAAAUCUCGCUCGAAAGAACAUCCUCAAAAUAAUGAAGUUCGAGAACGGAAUGUGGAUGAAAAAUGUUACCAGCAAAAUUUUAAUAUAUGCUAUUUGUAUUGCUGUCUCAACGAAAAUUUCCGGUCUGAUCGCAGUAAAAAUUACGAGAAAGUUGUCAACUAUGCAGAACACUGCAUUAACAGCUGGAAAUUUCAAUCGCCGGAACUCAAUGCCCAAUUACUGAAAAUUCUUCGCUAUAUGCUAUUAGAUACUAACUGUGCGACUGUUAAUCAAAACACUCGAGGAUUACUGAAAACUCUACUCGAAGUUUACAUUCAGGCCAAACUCUCACAGGAAACCAGAAACCACAUACUUAUUCUGUUUUGUGAUAUAAUAGUUCAGAACGAUAGACUCUGGCGGGAGUAUGGCCAAGAAAUAUUCACUCUAUGGUUACGAAUGCUUCCAAAUCUGCUCAACAAGCCAUCGAUAGAUGUAAAUGUACUGAAAGCGUUGCUGUGUCUUGCAAAGCAGAAAAAUGUGGUAUUUGUACAAAGUUUGGAAGAAAACAUAGAAGGCAUUAUGCGCAAUCUACCACAGAUCAGAGUGACUAACGAACAGCGCGAGAAUGAAGGAAAAAUUCUCAUUAUAAAUUUGAUAUUUUGGAUCGAAAACCGAGAUGUAUUAAAUAAGUUACUGGACAAGCAAAGAAUCAAAGAAAUUGCUCUAAACGACGAAUUGAAAACCUAUUUUCAGAAUACAUUACAGUCACGGUUCAAAUAUUUAAAAAUCCUCACAAAACCAAGUUCGGUUGUGUAAUCUCUGGAGAUCUGGGCGAUCAGUCAGUAUCAACGACAUGAUGCUUUUAAUGAACAAACGAAUAAUUCUUACCGCUCGAGAAUGUUACCUGUUGAAUCUAUAGCGAAGCGGUUAAAUCAACUAUCCAACUCCUGGCAGAUAUUCCAGGCAGAGCUGCUAAAUGUCACUAUCAACGAGCAACUUUGCACGACGAAGAUUGGAAAGUUUAUGUCACUGGGCUGCUGCCAACCAGGCUCUACCAAUCAUCAUAUAUUGAGUAUCUGAGAGCCGAUCUGUCAUGACUUAAAUUCUCUUGAUAUUAUACUCACCAGGACGCUCAUUGAUUGCCGAUGCGAUUGAUAUUAUCUUCAUUUCUCCUGUCACUGCUUGAUUACGAUGUGACUAAAUAUUAAUCAAGCAGCAUAAACAUUGAAUUAAAUUAAUGUACACCAAUAAAUUCCGAAAUCCGAUGACUUUUUAAAAGAACAAUUAACUUUAUCAUUUCAUGUUUAUGUUAGAAUGGAAUUUUUUUACUUCAACAGGGAAUAUGAGAAUGAGAGAGAGAACAAAAAAAUGCGUCACCUGUCUUUGACUGAGUAUACUUCUACUUGGUCACUGAACUAUCGAGUAUCUCAUUUGACAGACACUUUGACCGUACCGAUUACAGUUGACGAUGAUUUUAGUCAGUCUGUCAAGGUCAUUUGAGAUGACUGACAAUUUGCAG